rnacentral:tRNA from 1 species
AAGAUUUUAAGUUAACUAAACUGAAGGUUUUCAAAACCUUUAAUAAAUAUUUUUGUUUAAAUCUUG